rnacentral:lncRNA from 1 species
AUGAAAAGGUCCUUCAGAAAAGGACCCCAGAGCUCCCAGAAUACCAGGAACUUGUGGGAGCAGAGAGCACUUCUGAAAGAAGAGAGAUGCUUUUUCAGAUACAAUUGCACUUUGGAAGAAAGGACAAGACCCAGAAGCCAAAGCAGGCAACCUGCCUGGAUUUGGGCACCUAACUCAGAUCAGGAUGAAACUUUCCAUCUCUCCAUUGGUGCUGUUUCACUUCAUAUAGUUACCACAAGAACUAAAAGAGGCAGAACAUACAGAAUACUGGCUAAUGAACAUGGACAAAAAUAACUUUUUUUAUUCCUGCCCCAAGGGAUAUAAUAGAAUAUCUAUAAUUAGAGACACUUCACAGAGAUUUUAAAAGAACAAGGCCUGAGUAACCAAAUAACUUGACCUUUGGGGAUGUGGUAGACCUGAGAUCAAGUAAAUUCUUCAGAUCAUGCAGAAAAAGAAUUUGAGUCUUUGUCCUUCAUCUCCCUAAUGAUUGCUCUAACUAUGUAACUCCCUUGGCCAUGUGCACAGUCUCUCC